UGCAGUUAAGACUAUGAUCCAAUUUGAGUGAUUUUUUUCAGAACGGUAUAAGAAACCCAUGAGUACUGAAGCUAAGUUCACAUUCAUAAAUAAAAUCUCCAGAGCAGAAGAUUAAAAGCAUGAAUGAAGACCUCUUUACUACCAGAAUCCAGAUCACAUUUUGAAUUAUUGAUGUUACAAGGUUCACACGCAUGCAGGGAACUGAUGACGAGGCAGUGCCAUUCGAUGCCGUGCUUCAGGCUGGUGUGUUUAUCAGCGGAGAGUCUGGCCGCCAGACCUAGAUAAACACAUGCUUAUCAACAACCAACACCAUAUGGCAGGAAACAGCCUCUGACUUGGGCAGUGGCAUCCAGGAUCGGCCCUCCUGGUGUCUGCACGGGGCCCAGCUGCCAGAGUACAAAUUAAUUGCUUCUCUUCUUUUUGCUCCUCUGGAAGGUACUAGUAUAUAUCCCAAAGCCUUUGUUCUGGCCAUUAUACUAUUUUUACCAACCAUUCUAUGCCAGUGCUAUCCCUUCUAUGACAAGCAACUCCUAGUUGUUUAAUCCAUUAAUCAACUAAUUACCAUAAAUAAUUUAUUAAGGUACCAAAUUAAAUCAACUUGGAUUUGCAGAGGGAUAGCUCAAGAGAAUUAUUUACUUUCCAAAGUAUACAAAUGUAAUACUUAACAAGUUUUUAGAUAUUUCUGAUGUAUUAAAAAAUAAUGCUCAUUUAGACAACAACACACCAAAUGAUGAUAAUGAAGUUAACUUAUAAAAGCAGUGGAUCUUUGGUUCAGAGAUAUGUUUAGAGAGGCAACAAGAAUUUGAAGUACUAUUAAAA